rnacentral:snoRNA from 1 species
UGCCGUGAUGGUGUAAUUUGCGUCCUACACUGUGAUCAGUGACAUUAUGCCUGAUGUCAUAUGCUGGCACAAGUGGCUGACGAACCUAAAGUCUGAGCG